rnacentral:lncRNA from 1 species
UUCCGUUUAAACGGUCUACACUUUAGUCAUUUCCUUUUCCUUUUCUGAGAACUUUCAAAGUGCUGAGAGGACAGGGAAGCUGUAGUUAAGACAAGGACUCAUUUCCUCAGCAACCACCAUCUAGAGAGCACCUCCUGUGUGUCCAGAACCAUGCUGAGGCUGGGACAAGGAAACAGGUGACCACACUCCCAACUGUUGUUCACUUUCUGGCUCAGUGCUUAGUUGUGCUUGGCAACCAAUACUGCUAGAGGAAGAAGCUACAGAACUACUUGAAGGAAAGAAUAUCCGAUGGAAAAAAGUCUCUUCAACAAAUGGUGUUGGGAAAUCUAGACAGCAACAUGCAGCAAAAUAAAACUGGACCACCUUCUUACACCAUACACAAAAAUUAAUUCAAAAUGGAUGAAAGACCUAAAUGUGAGACAGGAAACCAUCAAAAUCCUAGAGAACACAGGCAGAAACCUCUUUGACCUCGGCCGUUGCAACUCUUGCUAGACACGUCGCCGGAGGCAAGGGAAAAAAAAAGCAAAAAUGAACUGUUGGAACUUCAUCAAGAUAAAAAGCUUCUACACAAAUAAAAUUUAAAAAAAUAAAAAGCUUCUACACAGUGAAGGAAACACUCAACAAAACUAAAAGGCAGCCUACGGAACGGGAGAAGAUACUUGCAGGCAAUAUAUCUGAUAAAGGGUUAGUAUCCAAAAUCUAUAAAGAACUUAUCAAACUCAACACCCAAAAAACAAAUAAUCCAG